rnacentral:tRNA from 1 species
CACUGGAUGGUGUAGGCAGUCUGCACGCCUGGCUGAAGCCCAGGAGGUGUCGGUGCGAUUCCGACUCCAGUGGCCA